GAUGAACGCUAGCGACAGGCUUAACACAUGCAAGUCGAGGGGCAGCAAUUUGUAGCAAUACAAAGUUGGCGACCGGCGCACGGGUGAGUAACGCGUAUGCAACCUACCCGCAACAGAAGAAUAAUCCGGCGAAAGUCGGUCUAAUGCUUCAUAAAACAGGGACACCGCAUGGUGCUAUUUGUUAAAGAUUUAUCGGUUGUGGAUGGGCAUGCGUACCAUUAGGUAGUUGGUGAGGUAACGGCCCACCAAGCCUACGAUGGUUAGGGGUUCUGAGAGGAAAGUCCCCCACACUGGUACUGAGACACGGACCAGACUCCUACGGGAGGCAGCAGUGAGGAAUAUUGGUCAAUGGGCGAGAGCCUGAACCAGCCAAGUCGCGUGAAGGAUGACGGCCCUAUGGGUUGUAAACUUCUUUUGCAGGGGAAUAAAAAUAUCCACGU
rnacentral:rRNA from 2 species